rnacentral:tRNA from 1 species
GUGUAGCUCACUUGUAGAGUACAUACUUAGCAUGUAUAAGGCCCUGGGUUCAACCCCAGCAC